rnacentral:rRNA from 1 species
GACGAACGCUGGCGGCGUGCCUAAUACAUGCAAGUCGAACGAGAGCGACCGGUGCUUGCACUGGUCAAUCUAGUGGCGAACGGGUGAGUAACACGUGGGUAACCUGCCCAUCAGAGGGGGAUAACAUCCGGAAACGGAUGCUAAAACCGCAUAGGUCUUGGAACCGCAUGGUUUGAAGAGGAAAAGAGGCGCAAGCUUCUGCUGAUGGAUGGACCCGCGGUGCAUUAGCUAGUUGGUGAGGUAACGGCUCACCAAGGCCGUGAUGCAUAGCCGACCUGAGAGGGUGAUCGGCCACAUUGGGACUGAGACACGGCCCAAACUCCUACGGGAGGCAGCAGUAGGGAAUCUUCCGCAAUGGACGCAAGUCUGACGGAGCAACGCCGCGUGAGUGAAGAAGGUUUUCGGAUCGUAAAACUCUGUUGUUAGAGAAGAACAAGUGCUAGAGUAACUGUUAGCGCCUUGACGGUAUCUAACCAGAAAGCCACGGCUAACUACGUG